CCAAUAGCGUAUAUUAAAGUUGUUGCAGUUAAAAAGCUCGUAGUUGAAUUUCGGGGUUAGUAGGUUGGUCAUGCCUCUGGUAUGUACUGGCCUCACUGAUUCCUCCUUCCUGACGAACCGUAAUGCCAUUAAUUUGGUGUUGCGGGAAAUUUGGACUGUUACUUUGAAAAAAUUAGAGUGUUUAAAGCAAGCUAACGCUUGAAUACAUUAGCAUGGAAUAAUGAAAUAGGACGUUCGAUCCUAUUUUGUUGGUUUCUAGGAUUGACGUAAUGAUGAAUAGGGAUAGUUGGGGGCAUUAGUAUUCAAUUGUCAGAGGUGAAAUUCUUGGAUUUAUUGAAGACUAACUACUGCGAAAGCAUUUGUCAAGGAUGUUUUCAUUAAUCAAGAACGAAAGUUAGGGGAUCGAAGACGAUCAGAUACCGUCGUAGUCUUAACCAUAAACUAUGCCGACUAGGGAUCGGAUGAUGUUAAUUUUUUAAUGACUCAUUCGGCGCCUUACG
rnacentral:rRNA from 1 species